GAUGAACGCUGGCGGCGUGCCUAAUACAUGCAAGUCGAGCGAACAGACGAGGAGCUUGCUCCUCUGACGUUAGCGGCGGACGGGUGAGUAACACGUGGAUAACCUACCUAUAAGACUGGGAUAACUUCGGGAAACCGGAGCUAAUACCGGAUAAUAUAUUGAACCGCAUGGUUCAAUAGUGAAAGACGGUUUUGCUGUCACUUAUAGAUGGAUCCGCGCCGCAUUAGCUAGUUGGUAAGGUAACGGCUUACCAAGGCAACGAUGCGUAGCCGACCUGAGAGGGUGAUCGGCCACACUGGAACUGAGACACGGUCCAGACUCCUACGGGAGGCAGCAGUAGGGAAUCUUCCGCAAUGGGCGAAAGCUUGACGGAGCAACGCCGCGUGAGUGAUGAAGGUCUUCGGAUCGUAAAACUCUGUUAUUAGGGAAGAACAAAUGUGUAAGUAACUAUGCACGCCUUGACGGUACCUAAUCAGAAAGCCACAGCUAACUACGUG
rnacentral:rRNA from 1 species